CUCAAUCUGUGGGUUGUCUCUUCACUCUGUUGGUUAUUUCACUUGCUGUGCAAAAGCUUUUUAAUAAGAUAAGGUCCCAGUUGUUGAUUCUUUGUAGUAUUUCCCAUGUGGUCUGGGUUUUGUUCAUGAAGUCUUUGUCUACUCCUGUGUUCUCAAGCGAUCUACCUAUUCUCUCUUCCAGAAGAUUUAGUGUUUCUGUUUUAAUAUUUAGAUCUUUCAUCCAUUUUGAUUUUAGGUUAGUGGAUGGUGAAAUACAUGGGCCUAGUUUCAAUCUUUGGGAUGUGGAAAAUCAAUUUUUCCAGUACCAUUUAUUAAGGAAGGUGUUUGGCUCCUUUGUCAAAGAGAAGGUGGUUGAGUAUGUCUGGAGUUGUUUCUGGAUCCUCUAGUCUGUUCCAUUGAUCCUCAGGUCUGUUCUUUUGCCAGUACCAUGCUGUUUUUAUCACUAGUUUUGUAGUAUAAUUUAAAGUCAGGGAUUGUGAUACCCUUGUUGCCUUUGUUGCCUAGAAUUGCCUUUGCUAUUCUAGGUCUCUUCUGGUUCCAAAUGAAUUUUAGGAUUGUUUUUUCUAAUACUGUGAGAUAUUCUGUUGGGAUUUUGAUUGGGAUUUUGAUUGGGAUUGCAUUGAAUCUGUAUAACAGUUUUGGAAGUAUGGCCAUUUUCACCAUAUUGGCUUUCCCUAUCAAAGAACAGGGGAUAUCUUUCCAGUUUCUGAUAUCCUCUUCAAUCUCCUUUUUCAGAGUACUAUAGUUUUCAAUGUAACGAUCUUUUACUUCCUUCAUUAGAUUAAUUCCUAGGUAUUUCAUUUUUUUGGAUGCUAUUGUGAAAGGGUUUGUUUCUCUAAUUUCUCUCUCUGUGAAUGUGUUAUUCAUGUACAGGAAGGCUAUUGACUUUUGAGUGUUGACUUUGUAUCCAGCUAUGCCACUGAAUUUGGUUAUCAAAUCUAAGUCUUUUAGUGGAGUUUUUGGGGUCUUCUAUAUAGAGUAUCAUGUCUUCCACAAAUAAUGAUAAUUUAACUGCUUCCUUUCCUAUCCUUAUUCCUUUUAUUUCUUUCUCUUAUUUAAUUGCUGCGGCUAAUGUUUCCAGAACUAUAUUGAACAAGAGUGGUGACAGUGGACGUCCUUGUCUUGUUCCUGAUUUUAGAGUGAAAGCUUUCAGUUUUUGUCCAUUUAAUAUGUUGGCUGUUGGUUUGUCAUAGAUAGCUUUAUCAGAUUGAGAUAAAGACCAUCCAUUCAAAUUUUCUGUAGGGUUUUUAUCAUGAAUGGGUGUUGGACCCUGUCAAAUGCAUUUUCUGCAUCUAUUGAGAAGAUCAUAUGAUUUUUGUCUUUGGCUCUGUUAAUAUAAUGUAUUACAUUUAUUGAUUUGUGUAUGUUGAACCAUCCCUGGGAGAAGCGAACUUGGUCAUGGUGUAUAAUCUUGAUGAUUUGCUGCUGUAUCUUAUUGAGGAUAUUUGCAUCUAUGUUCAUUAAAGAGAUUGGCCUGUAAGUCUCCUUUUUGGUUGGAUCCUUCUCUCGUUUUGGAAUCAGGGUGAUGCUUGCUUCCAGGAAUGAAUUUGGGAGUAUUGCUUCCCUUUUAAUUUCAGUAAAGAGUUUGAAGAGUAGCAGCAUUAGGUCUUUAAAUUUCUUGUAGAAUUCAGCAGUGCAUCCAUCAGGGACAGGGCUUUUCUUUGUUGGUAGAUUAUAAAUUACAUAUUCAAUUUCAUUGGCUGAUAUGGGUUUAUUUAUAAUUUCUAUAUCUUCUUGAUUCAGUUGUUUUUUUUUUUUUUGGUACCAGGGAUUAAACUUGGGACCUUGUGCUUGUGAGGCAGGUGGCGGAACCACUGAGCUAAAUCUCUGGCCCAGUUCAGUUUUGGUAAUUCAUAUGUAUGUAGGAAUCUGUCCAUUUCUUCUGUAUUUUCCAUCGUAUUAGAAUACAGGUUCUUGAAGUAGGUAUUGAUGAUCUUCUGGAUCUCUGCAAGAUCUGUUGUGAUUUCACCCUUUUCAUUCCUAAUUACAUGGAUUUGAGUCUUUUUUUUUUUUUUUUAUAAGAUUGGCUAAAGGUUUGUCAAUUUUAUUUAGUCUUUCAAAGAAUUAGCUCUUCAAUUUGUUGAUUCUUUGUAUUGUUUCCUUAGUCUCCAUUGUAUUAAUUUCUGCUCUGAUUUUUAUAUUUCCUUCCUCCUAUGAGCUUUGGGCUUGACUUGGUUCUUUUUCUAGAAGCUUGAGGUUCAACAUUAGAUUGUUUAUUUGAGCCUGCUCCUUCAGAGCUUUUUUUUUUGUUACCAGGGAUCGAACUCAGGACCUUGUGCUUGUGAGGCAUGCAUGGUGCCACUGAGCUAAAUCCCCAGCCCCUUCAGAGAUUUUUUUAACCACCCUUUGAAUUCCAUUUUAUUUAUUUAUUUAUUUAUUUAGAAUUCUGGUUUUAAAUACUACCAGGGUCAUAGCAAAGAGCCAGGGACUGGGGUUGGGCCAAGGAUAGAACUCACGACCUUGUGCUUGUAAGGUAGGCACAGUGUCACUGAGCUAAAUCCCCAGCCCCUUCAGAGUUUUUUUUUUUAACCAUUCUUUAAAUUCUAUUUUAUUUAUUUAUUUAUUUACUUCUUUGCUUACUUAUUUUGAAUUCCAGUUUUAAACACUACCAGGGUCAUAGCAAAGAGCCAGGGACUGGGAUGGUGUUUAGGGCUGGGGGCUUCUGGGGAAUAUGUGGUGACAAGGGUGAAAGAUGAGGUAUUUGUUGUUUCUGAAUCCUGAGCAACAAGGAUCGGGGCUGUUUGCAGCUCCUGCCCCCUGAGGAUUACCAGCGCUUUCUGGACCUGAGCGUCUCCAUUGCAGAAAACCGCAGUGCUUUCAGCUACCACUGCAAGACCCCGGACUGCAAGGGCUGGUGCUUUUUUGAGGAUGACGUCAAUGAGUUCACCUGUCCCGUGUGUUUCCACAUCAACUGCUUGCUUUGCAAGGCCAUCCACGAGCACAUUAACUGCAAGGAGUAUCAGGAUGACCUGGCACUGCGGGCUCAGAAUGACCUGGCUGCCGGCAGACCACAGAGAUGCUGCAGGGCCCAGGGGACACCAGUGGGGGCUGCCGCUGCCGAGUGAAUGGGAUUCCUUGCCACCCAAGCUGUCAGAACUGCCACUAAGCUGAAGAUGGCUGGGUUCUCUCACUGGCAACCCCCACCCCAUUCAUAGGCAGUAGUGGGCAGGGCUGGACUUGGGGCCCUGGCUUUGGUUUCUGACCUGGGAGACAUCCCUGUGACUGGCCGAGGCUAAGGUCCCCCACUUUGCGGUGGCCUGCUUGUGCCACCACGUGUUCAGGGGCCCUGGCUGCAGUUGCCUAGUCACAUCUGCCCCAGUGCCUUUGCCCUUCUCCCCAGGGGCUUGAUGGCCAGACCUUUCUUCUAUGUGGCUCUUACCUCUGCCAGCCUCUAUCCUUAAACAGCUCUGCCCAGAGGCCUUGCUGGCCCAACCCUCUGCCGGCACCAUGAGACAACACUCCUCCCAACCACACUCCCCGCUGGCCCCCAAGCACAGCAGCCUCACCACUUCCCCAUUGGUUUCCAGGGUAACUUUACUCUGUCUUCACUGUCAGAGGCCUGGAGCCUCUUAUUGCUGCUGUGGACCUGCUCAGAGGGAGACUGGGCUAGGUGAGAGCACAGUGCAAUGGGUAUGGUGCUGUGUCCCAUCUCACCUGUGUAAGCAAAUUAAAAUGGUUUUCCAGGAA
ensembl:lncRNA